UACGGGGGGAGCAAGCGUUGUUCGGAUUUACUGGGCGUAAAGGGCGCGUAGGCGGUAGCACAAGUCAGUUGUGAAAUCUCCGGGCUUAACUCGGAAAGGUCAACUGAUACUGUGCGACUAGAGUGCAGAAGGGGCAACUGGAAUUCCCGGUGUAGCGGUGAAAUGCGCAGAUAUCGGGAGGAACACCAGUAGCGAAGGCGGCUCGCUGGGCCACACCUGACGCUGAGGCGCGAAAGCUAGGGGAGCAAACGGG
rnacentral:rRNA from 1 species